rnacentral:misc_RNA from 1 species
AAGGAUCAUUAGUAUUAUACAUGUUUCUCGGCAUGAAUUUCAAAACCCAUCUGUGUACCUUACCUGUUGCUUCCGUGCUGCGUGUGCAGCGAACUGUGCCCUCCAAGGCCAACUCUCCCAGGGUGGAGGGGACCUCGGAGUGUCAGCACGGAAGGUUUUACGGCAAACUCUUGCAUUUCCAUGUUUUCUGUCUGAACUGUCAUACACAAUAAGUUAAAACUUUCAACAACGGAUCUCUUGGUUCUC